GAUGAACGCUGGCGGCGUGCUUAACACAUGCAAGUCGAGCGAGAAGUUUUGAAUAGUUUCUUCGGAUGAAAUUUAAAAUGGAAAGCGGCGGACGGGUGAGUAACGCGUAGGCAACCUGCCCCAUACAAAGGGAUAGCAUUUGGAAACGAAUAUUAAUACCUUAUGAAACUUAACUAGUGCAUGCUAGGUAGGUCAAAGAUUUAUCGGUAUGGGAUGGGCCUGCGUCUGAUUAGCUAGUUGGUGAGGUAACGGCUCACCAAGGCGACGAUCAGUAGCCGCCCUGUGAGGGUGAACGCCCCCACUGGGACUGAGAGACGGUCCCAACUCCUCCGCGAGGCAGCGGUGGGGAAUAUUGCACAAUGGGGGAGACCCUGAUGCAGCGACGCCGCGUGAACGAUGAAGGCCUUUGGGGCUUAAAGUUCUGUUCUAGGAGAUGGAAACUGACAGUAACCUACGAGAAAGCCCCGGCUAACUCCGUG
rnacentral:rRNA from 1 species